UACGGAGGGUGCUAGCGUUGUUCGGAAUUACUGGGCGUAAAGGGCGCGUAGGCGGCCUGAUCAGUCGGGGGUGAAAGCCUGUGGCUCAACCACAGAAUGGCCUUCGAUACUGUCGGGCUUGAGACCGGAAGAGGUAAGUGGAACUGCGAGUGUAGAGGUGAAAUUCGUAGAUAUUCGCAAGAACACCAGUGGCGAAGGCGGCUUUCUGGUCCGAUUCUGACGCUGAGGCGCGAAAGCGUGGGGAGCAAACAGG
rnacentral:rRNA from 1 species